ensembl:Y_RNA Y_RNA Y RNA
GGCUGGUCCGAGUGCAGUGGUGUUUACAACUGGAUCACAACCAGUUACAGAUUUCUUUGUCCCUUCUCAUUUCCCACUGCUUGACUUGACUAGGCUUAA